GGGAAACUGGGGGUAUACUCCAUAAUUCGAUAUAACUGGAAUGUUUUUCGAAUAAAAGAUCCGUCGCUCCAGGAUGAGUCUGCGGCCGAUUAGGUAGUUGUUGGGGUAACUGCCCAACAAGCCUGUCAUCGGUACGGGUUGUGGGAGCAAGAGCCCGGAGAUGGAUUCUGAGACACGAAUCCAGGCCCUACGGGGCGCAGCAGGCGCGAAAACUUUACCAUGCGGGCAACCGUGAUAAGGAAACCCCGAGUGCCAGCACAGGCUGGCUGUCCACCAGUGUAAAUAACUGGUGAAGAAAGGGCCGGGCAAGACCGGUGCCAGCCGCCGCGGUAAUACCGGCGGCUCGAGUGGUGGCCACUAUUACUGGGCUUAAAGGGUCCGUAGCUUGAUAUGCAAGUCUUUUGAGAAAUCCGCCGGCUUAACUGGUGGGCGUUCAGGGGAAACUGCAUUUCUAGGGACCGGGAGAGGUGAGAGGUACUGCCGGGGUAGGAGUGAAAUCCUGUAAUCCCGGUGGGACCACCUAUAGCGAAGGCAUCUCACCAGAACGGGUCCGACAGUGAGGGACGAAAGCUGGGGGAGCAAACCGGAUUAGAUACCCG
rnacentral:rRNA from 1 species